rnacentral:rRNA from 1 species
CCUACGGGAGGCAGCAGUGGGGAAUAUUGCACAAUGGGGGAAACCCUGAUGCAGCGACGCCGCGUGAGUGAAGAAGUAUCUCGGUACGUAACGCCCUAUCAGCAGGGAAGAAAAUGACCGUACCCGACUAAAAAGCCCCGGCUAAAUACGUGCCCGCAGCCGCGGUAAUACGUAGGGGGCAAGCGUUAUUCGGAUUUAAUGGGUGUAAAGGGAGCGUAGACGGCAGCACAAGUCUGGAGUGAAAUCCCGGGGCUGAACCCCGGAACUGCUUUGGAAACUGUGCGGCUGGAGUGCCGGAGGGGUAAGCGGAAUUCCUAGUGUAGCGGUGAAAUGCGUAGAUAUUAGGAGGAACACCAGUGGCGAAGGCGGCUUACUGGACUGUAACUGACGUUGAGGCUCGAAAGCGUGGGGAGCAAACAGGAUUAGAUACCCCUGUAGUC